AUACGUAGGGUGCAAGCGUUAAUCGGAAUUACUGGGCGUAAAGCGUGCGCAGGCGGUUUUGUAAGACAGUGGUGAAAUCCCCGGGCUCAACCUGGGAACUGCCAUUGUGACUGCAAGGCUGGAGUGCGGCAGAGGGGGAUGGAAUUCCGCGUGUAGCAGUGAAAUGCGUAGAUAUGCGGAGGAACACCGAUGGCGAAGGCAAUCCCCUGGGCCUGAACUGACGCUCAUGCACGAAAGCGUGGGGAGCAAACAGGAUUAGAUACCCUGGUAGUCCACGCCCUAAACGAUGUCAACUGGUUGUUGGGGAUUUAUUUUCUCAGUAACGAAGCUAACGCGUGAAGUUGACCGCCUGGGGAGUACGGCCGCAAGGUUAAAACUUAAAGGAAUUGACGGGG
rnacentral:rRNA from 1 species